rnacentral:misc_RNA from 1 species
GUAGGUGAACCUGCGGAAGGAUCAUUAUCACGUAUCCACGUAUAAACCAUAACUGUGAACUGUUGCUCUCUGAGACGCCUUCUUUCUCUUUUCGUGAAUACUUGUUUGCUUUUGCGAUAGGGUUAGAAGGUUCUUUUUGGGCUUAUUUUUUUUUAAAAUUAUUUAUUAACUAUUUGAACCAAAUAUAUACACUUCAUUCUAUGUGACUGAACUGUUUCUUUACCCGAUACAUUUAUUUGUUAGGGAAGAAAUUGAUAUACGUAACAAUAAGAACAACUCUUAGCAACGGAUAUCUUGGUUCUC